GCGAACGCUGGCGGCGUGCUUAACACAUGCAAGUCGAACGGAAAGGCCCUGCUUUUGUGGGGUGCUCGAGUGGCGAACGGGUGAGUAACACGUGAGUAACCUGCCCUUGACUUUGGGAUAACUUCAGGAAACUGGGGCUAAUACCGGAUAGGAGCUCCUGCUGCAUGGUGGGGGUUGGAAAGUUUCGGCGGUUGGGGAUGGACUCGCGGCUUAUCAGCUUGUUGGUGGGGUAGUGGCUUACCAAGGCUUUGACGGGUAGCCGGCCUGAGAGGGUGACCGGCCACAUUGGGACUGAGAUACGGCCCAGACUCCUACGGGAGGCAGCAGUGGGGAAUAUUGCACAAUGGGCGGAAGCCUGAUGCAGCAACGCCGCGUGCGGGAUGACGGCCUUCGGGUUGUAAACCGCUUUCGCCUGUGACGAAGCGUGAGUGACGGUAAUGGGUAAAGAAGCACCGGCUAAUUACGUG
rnacentral:rRNA from 1 species